GCCUAGCAAGGCGAUGGUGAUCGUAUGAGAGGCUGGCAGUGCUGCCUAAUGUUUCUUUCCUGGAGAGAAUGCAACCUAUUUGUCUAGUAAGGAAUUUCUGAAAAAUCUGUAUCUGGAUUUUAUCUGCACUAUAUGAGUGAUACUUUUGACAUGUGGAUGGAUAGAGAUGUGGCCUUGUGGACUGGGUUGAAUGGACUAUUUUAAACUGCUGCUUCUAUUUUAAGUCCUGAUUCUUUUACUUACUGAUCUGCACAAGAUACCUAACACCACUGAGCCUCAGUUUCCUCAAUUAGAAAAUAAGAAUGUGACUCCUCUCCCUUCAAGGACUGUGUGAAGAUUAAAAAUGAUACAUACAGAGUACAGCCUAGAGAGAAGACAGCUUGGUUCCAAUUGCCAAUAUGUAGGGUAAAGCACAAUUUCAAGUUCUCUCAUACGACAGAGAUGGUUUGAAACCCAACCGAAAAGACUUCAGCAAUAUUCAGGAUAACUGCCAUGAACUAAAGCAAGCAUCUUUAAAAUUUUUUUUCUCUUUUCAUUGCAGCUGACUUUGGGAUCUGUAAUUUAUGAGCUGCCAUGGAAACAAGUCACAUGUGUGAGUUCCCAUAGCAAAAGUGGCAGCCUAUGAAUGGUGAAUAUUCAAGGUGGCACCAGAGUCAUCUGUGCUGAGAAUAGUUCAGUACUAAAACAUUCAGAGAUCUUAGUAGUCAUAGAACAGAAAGGGCACUGUUUCAGUGAACAAAAUGACAAUUGCCUAAUACACCUGCUGAUUUCCACCUGCCUGUUUAGAUAUAAAUAGUAAUUCCCCAGUGUAGGUACAUCAGUAUGCAUAUUUACAUUUUGAUCAGGGCACACUAAUUUUUUUCCAAAAAUAAUGAAUACAUUAUUAUUAAGAAUAUUGAUUUAAUAUUUUAGUGUUAAUUAGCUUGGUUCCAGCCAAAGACAUAUUUGGUAUUUUAAAGCAGUCUUGAAACAUUGCUCUCUUCAUAUAAUG
ensembl:lncRNA